GACGAACGCUGGCGGCGUGCCUAAUACAUGCAAGUCGAGCGGAAGUUGGAGAGCUUGCUCUUCAACUUUAGCGGCGGACGGGUGAGUAACACGUGGGCAACCUGCCCUGCAGAUCGGGAUAACUCCGGGAAACCGGUGCUAAUACCGAAUAGUUUUCGCCACCUCCUGGUGGCGUACGGAAAGACGGUUUCGGCUGUCACUGCAGGAUGGGCCCGCGGCGCAUUAGCUAGUUGGUGGGGUAACGGCCCACCAAGGCGACGAGGCGUAGCCGACCUGAGAGGGUGAUCGGCCACACUGGGACUGAGACACGGCCCAGACUGCUACGGGAGGCAGCAGUAGGGAAUCUUCCGCAAUGGACGAAAGUCUGACGGAGCAACGCCGCGUGAGUGACGAAGGUUUUCGGAUCGUAAAACUCUGUUGUGAGGGAAGAACAAGUACCAACUAACUACUGGUACCUUGACGGUACCUCACCAGAAAGCCACGGCUAACUACGUGCCAGCCGCCGCAGUAAAAC
rnacentral:rRNA from 1 species